rnacentral:rRNA from 1 species
CACGUAGGGGGCGAGCGUUGUCCGGAUUUAUUGGGCGUAAAGGGCUCGUAGGCGGCUCAGUAAGUCAGGUGUGAAACCUCCAGGCUCAACCUGGAGACGCCACCUGAUACUGCUGUGGCUAGAGUCCGGUAGGGGAGCAUGGAAUUCCUGGUGUAGCGGUGAAAUGCGCAGAUAUCAGGAGGAACACCAGUGGCGAAGGCGGUGCUCUGGGCCGGAACUGACGCUGAUGAGCGAAAGCGUGGGGAGCAAACAGG